GGUGAUGCGCCACCGGCAGACGAGGUAGUAACACGUAGGAACGAACCCCGUAGUCAGGAAUAAUCCGACGAAAGUCGGACUAAUACUUGAUACACUCGCGAGAGGAAAGAUUUAUCGCUAUGGGAUCGGCCUGCGAAGUAUCAGCUAGUUGGUAGGGUAAUGGCCUACCAAGGCUUUGACGCUUAGGGGCGCUGAGAGGCGAACCCCCACCGAUGGGACUGCGACACGGCCCAUACACCUACGGGUGGCUGCAGUCGAGAAUCUUCCACAAUGGACGAAAGUCUGAUGG
rnacentral:rRNA from 2 species